GUAAAUUAAUAGAGAGAUGGGUAGCACUUCCCUUGACAAGGAUAAAAGAGGUGUGGAUAGUGGCCUGCGUCGCAUAUACGGUUAAGGCACUACCACCUACUUCGUGGCAUCUCUAACGUGAAUUUCC